rnacentral:rRNA from 1 species
AGCAGUGAGGAAUAUUGGUCAAUGGACGAGAGUCUGAACCAGCCAAGUCGCGUGAAGGAAGACGGCCUACGGGUUGUAAACUUCUUUUGUAAGGGAAUAAGAGUCUUACGAGCUAAGCGUUGCAGGUACCUUACGAAUAAGGAUCGGCUAACUCCGUGCCAGCAGCCGCGGUAAUACGGAGGAUCCGAGCGUUAUCCGGAUUUAUUGGGUUUAAAGGGUGCGCAGGCGGCAUGUUAAGUCGGCGGUGAAAUUUUGCAGCUCAACUGUAAAAGAGCCUUCGAAACUGGCAAGCUUGAGUGUGGAUGAAGUAGGCGGAAUUUGUGGUGUAGCGGUGAAAUGCAUAGAUAUCACAAAGAACACCGAUUGCGCAGGCAGCUUACUAAACCAUAACUGACGCUCAUGCACGAAGGCGUGGGGAUCAAACAGGAUUAGAUACCCUGGUAGUCCACGCAGUAAACGAUGAUUACUGGCUGUUUGCGAUACAUGUAAGCGGCUAGCGAAAGCGUUAAGUAUCCCACUGGG